rnacentral:rRNA from 1 species
UACGUAGGGGGCAAGCGUUGUCCGGAUUUAUUGGGCGUAAAGAGCGUGUAGGCGGCCAGAUAGGUCCGUUGUGAAAACUGGAGGCUCAACCUUCAGACGUCGACCCAAACCCCCUGGCUAGAGUCCGGAAGAGGAGAGUGGAAUUCCUGGUGUAGCGGUGAAAUGCGCAGAUAUCAGGAAGAACACCCGUGGCGAAGGCGGCUCUCUGGGACGGUACUGACGCUGAGACGCGAAAGCGUGGGGAGCGAACAGG